rnacentral:misc_RNA from 1 species
UUGCCUCUAACUUCAACUUCUGAAUGGAUCUUCAAUUCAUUGUGCUCAUGGAGCUUAGUUAUAUUGUACAUAAGCCUAUUUCUAUGUAAUAAUAAUAUAUCCUAAGAAGAAGCAAACUGCUCUGAUAUUGUAAGAGAGACUUUCAGACAUCUAUUGACAUGUAACAGGAGUACUGAAGGUCGAUGAAGAACAUUUGUAACAAGUAUCAUUUGAUUAAACAGGAGCUGGGUUCA